rnacentral:tRNA from 1 species
GCCCCGAUCGUCUAGUGGCUAGGAUCGCGGUUUUUCAGGCCGUUGACGGGAGUUCGAGUCUCCCUCGGGGUA